GAUGAACGCUGACAGAAUGCUUAACACAUGCAAGUCUACCAAGAAUCACUUCGGUGAGGAAUGGUGGCGGACGGGUGAGUAACGCGUAAAUAAUCUGCCCUUUAGACUGGGAUAUCCUUUGGAAACGAAGGUUAUUACCGGAUAUUAUGAGAUGGACGCAUGUUCAACUUAUGAAAGCUAAAUGCACUAGAGGAGGAGUUUGCGUCCCAUUAGCUAGUUGGUGAGGUAAAGGCUCACCAAGGCCACGAUGGGUAGCCGGCCUGAGAGGGUGAACGGCCACAAGGGAACUGAGGCACGGUCCUUACUCCUACGGGAGGCAGCAGUGGGGAAUAUUGGACAAUGGACCAAAAGUCUGAUCCAGCAAUCCUGUGCGCACGAUGAAGGUCUUCGGAUUGUAAAGUGCUUUCAGUAGGGAAGAAAAAAAUGACGGUACCUACAGAAGAAGCGACGGCUAAAUAUGUGCCAGCCGCCGCGGUAAGAC
rnacentral:rRNA from 1 species